UCUGGUGAUGAUGGCAGAGAGGUCACACCCGUUCCCAUACCGAACACGGAAGUUAAGCUCUCUAGCGCCGAUGGUAGUUGGGACC
rnacentral:rRNA from 1 species